GCCAGGUGUGGUGGCUCACGCCUGUAAUCCCAAGCACUUUGGGAGGCCGAGGUGGGUGGAUCACUUGAGGUCAGGAGUUCGAGACCAGCCUGACCAACAUGGUGAAACCCCAUCUUUA
rnacentral:SRP_RNA from 2 species